rnacentral:lncRNA from 1 species
AACCAACCAACCAACCAAUCAAUCAAUCAAUCAAUGCAUGUUUAUGUUUCAUGUGUUUCAUACGGGAUCCAAGUUUUUUUUUCCGCUUGUUUUAAUUGAGCCUAUCAAGGUGUUUAACCAAUCAACGUGUUUAACCAACCAACAUGUUUAACCAACCAACGUGUUUAACCAACCAACGUGUUUAACCAACCAAUCAAUCAAUCAAUCAAUCAAUGCAUGUUUCACGUUUCAUGUGUUUCAUACGGGAUCCAAGGUUUUUUUUUCCGCUUGUUUUAAUUGAGCCUAUCCAACCAACGUGUUUAACCAACGUGUUUAACCAACGUGUUUAACCAACGUGUUUAACUAACCAACCAACGUGUUUAACCAACCAACCAAUCAAUCAAUGCAUGUCACGUUUCAUGUGUUUCAUACGGGAUCCAAGGUUUUUUUUCGCUUGUUUUAAUUGAGCCUAUCCAACCAACGUGUUUAACCAACAUGUUUAACCAACGUGUUUAACCAACAUGUUUAACAAACGUAUUUAACUAACCAACCAACGUGUUUAACCAGCCAACCAAUCAAUCAAUGCAUGUUUCCGUUUCAUGUGUUUAAUACGGAAUCCAAGGUCUCUUUUUUUUCGCUUGUUUCAAGAGACCCUAUAUCAAGUGUUUAAUUAAUAAACCAAUCAACCAACCAACCAACCAACC